ACGAGAGAAGCGGGAUUGUUUCGAAUUGUUGUACUUCCGAAGGAACGUGUGUUGCAUCUCACCCGAUUUGAGAAGUUUGACGUUUCGUGUGUGCCUCUUCGGUACAGGGCACCCCUCAGUGGGGUAAUAUCUGGCGGCUCGUGGGAAGUCGUAGUUGAAAGAUAUUCCAAAAUGCACGUCGGAUGAAUCGUGUGGUGAAGGAUUAAAAAGUGAAGAGUGUCUGUUCUUGUGUUUUUUGACACUCAAGUACAGUUAGGAUAUUUAAACUACAGAGUCAGAGCAUUCAUACCAAGACCAAUGCAGUGUGACCACUGUGAAUCUUUUGGACAUGUUUCAAGUGUUUGCAGAACGGAGAAGACAAGAUGUCCAAGUUGUGGAAAAGAUCAUGUCAUGUGUUUUAAAAAGGAUGAAAAUGUGACAUGUUGCAAUUGUGGUGGGAACCAUGAAGCCACGUCUUUGGAAUGCCCGACAAGGGUGAAAGAGAAUGAGGUGGCCAAAGUCAGGGCUGUCCAGAGCAUUUCAUAUGCAGCAGCUGUUAAAAGGGUUGAGGGUUUGAAUGGUGCACUUGAAGAGUAAUAUGGUUGUAGAUAGGCCUUCACUGCAGGCUGCAGGGGUUUCCUUUCACCAGCAGGACCCUGAUAUUUUAAAGGUUAAGAAGGUGAUUAUUGAAACUGCCAAGGUGGAGAGGAUGUCCAGGAAAAUGUAUAUCAUUGUGGAUGUGGAGGAGUUGCAUGGAGUAUUGUCACAAGCAGUACCACCCUCUGAGGCCCUAGAGCAAGAGAAGGGAGAUAUGGAGAUUUGGUUUGGAUUUGUCAGUGUACUAUUUUUAUUUGGGUGGAUUAAUGGGUUUUCUUUUUACCUUGUUUUUCAACCCAUCCAGUUGGCGGCGGAAAAAAUAGACCUUUUUCGGUUGUAGUUCGCCAUAAAACCAACAGAAGAAGAAGAGGAGUCACAGAAACGAUCGCGAACAAAACCUGUCCUGUGGCUCCCUCUCCUGGAUCAAGAGAGAACGACUCAAUCUUCAUGCCGACCACAACACGGCUCAUAUCAAGGUUGACAGAUAUCACGGGUUUAGUGUCGUCUUUCACGCCUCGUCGGCCUUUAUAUGCAACUUAAUACAUAUUUAAACCUCCCUCAGUAUGUGUGAACGCUGCAGGUGUCACUCAGGAUGAUUUCUCCCUGAAAAUGGAGGACGAGGACUUUGGCAAGGUUACCCAAGUCAUCUAAAGGCUACAUUUCUCCUGACUAAGGCUGUUGGAAAGGCUCUGGUUGCCAGUGGAGCUCCUAAACGCUCCAUCAUUGCUGUGGGCAGCAUUGUGGGUGGACAAUAUAGAACAGGCGAACUACUCGCCUGUUCUAUACAGGCUUCCAAAGCAGUUGUGGAGGGCCUGACCAGAACUGCAGCCAACUAGCUGAGCAGCUUACGUCCAUGGUGCCGCUGGGGAGGAUGGGAGAGCCUGCAGAGAGGAAGCUGAUGGAUCCUAACACACAUUCCCAGUAGAGGACUCUGGCUACAUCACUGGAAACAGUGUUGAAGUAGCAGAGGCCUUUUCAUUGGCUGAGACAACUUUCCGUCAUCCUCAUGAAGAUCCCAUCUAGGUCCAGUAAUUGUAUAUGUAUUCAACGUUCACACUGUGCCUUCGCUUGUGAUAAUACAACCGAUUGGGGAUCAAUCUUGUUUUGUAAAUCUAGUCAAUAUCUUAGUGUAAAUGUGAUUGUGCAAUAAAUUAAAACCUGUGUAACUUUUGUUGUGGCGAGAGUUCACGAGACAGAGUUGAGUGCUUUCCCAAUUUAACAGAGUUACGUCUCUUAACCCUCUACAUUUAUGUGAGAUUACUGUUUCGCGAGUGAAACUUAUACCAGUCGUUACUAACACGGUUGGAUUUAGAUGUUUGAAAACAGGAAAGACCGACGCCACACAUACAAAGACACACGAAUACAGUGUGCACACAGAGAAAAUGCGUUGGCAUGUGGUUUAAUUGGAGACGUUGAACAGAAAACAACAAGCCAAGAACAAUGAAACAGUGAAACGAAAGCAAAACAAAAACUAACAGAAAACAGAGAAGGAAAACAACACUGAGCACUGGACAGUAGAGGGGAAAAGAGAGGGUGCCAGCCAUAGAUCAGAACCAAACAGGUGUAAACACUAGAAGUGAUUUUUUUUUUGGGGGGGGGGGCUGGUGAGGUGAUAUAGUGGAAAUAAGGUUGGGAUCUGACUGAUUCUGGUGGUCAGUUCACUGGAGAUUGUGAAUGAUGUGGUUAUAUUCAGCUGUCUGAGCUGCUGUAUGCAGAAUGAAGAGAGAAAUAAAAUAAUGACUAGUUAUUGUGUAGCUCUGGGUAACAUGCAACACCAGCCAGUUGAGAGAGGAUGAAACAAAGGAACGAGGAAAAAAACACAAGGGAGUCAAGAAGCUAUUUUUAAAAAGAUGAUAUAUUACAGAAACAAAACAUUUAAAAUUACUUACAUUAUAAAAUAAUACUUUUUGUCUUUUCAGCACCAUAUUUUGUUGAAAUAUUUGUUUGUCUUUAACAACAACAAAAAACAAUCAAUGUAAUUUUCUCUCGCGAAUCACCUCAGGUUUUAGUUUGUCAAUCCCCCCCCCCUUCUCUGCAAUGUCAAAAGAAAAACGAACCAAAACACACAAACCAAAAUACC